GACGAACGCUGGCGGCGUGCUUAACACAUGCAAGUCGAACGAUUAAGAAAAGAAUUGAAGCUUCGGCAGAAAUUCAUUUCGGAUUAGUGGCAGACGGGUGAGUAACGCGUGAGCAACCUACCUCUUACAAAGGGAUAGCCUCGGGAAACCGGGAUUAAUACCAUAUAACAUUGCGACGAAGCAUUUCGAUGCAAUCAAAGCUACGGCGGUAAGAGAUGGGCUCGCGUCCCAUUAACCAGAUGGUGAGGUAACGGCUCACCAUAGUAACGAUGGGUAACCGGCCUGAGAGGGUGAACGGUCACACUGGAACUGAGACACGGUCCAGACUCCUACGGGAGGCAGCAGUGGGGAAUAUUGCACAAUGGAGGGAACUCUGAUGCAGCGACGCCGCGUGAGUGAUGAAGGAAUUCGUUUCGUAAAACUCUGUUCUAUGGGAAGAAAAGGACUGUACCAUAGGAGAAAGCUCCGGCUAAAUACGUG
rnacentral:rRNA from 1 species